ensembl:lncRNA
CUGGUAGGAAAAAAUGUGCUUUUUUUUCUUUUCUUCACUUAAAUAAGCUCCUACAUCAACAGCGUUCUUGCUAGUGUUGCUGUAUUGAUUCCAUGUUUCCUUUUAGCAUUGUGCUGAGAAAUGUCAGUGCUGUUACCUCCACCAGAGAUAACUAUGGCCUGUGAAAGACAAUUAGCCAAAGGAGUGGAUCCAGCCACAAUGCCAGCGUGCAAGCUACUCUGUCUGCAGUCAGGCCAUAGCCGAGGACUUAUAUGCUCAGAUUACACAGGAGCAAACAAAUCAAGUAGCACCAUCAAGCCUUUAGUGGAGCAGCUGCAGGAGGGUGUGUGUAAAAAAACCAAAAAAGAAAACAAAGAAGAAAAGAAAACAUUAACCCUGUACAGCCGUUGAUCAGCCUUCAAUUUCGAAUUUACAUGGUAAUUGAUCCUUCAGAACUUCUCUACAUCUCUUUCUCGUCACCCCUCUCACUUCUCCUCCUUCUCUGCUUUAGUCUGUCCAAGCCUCCACUCCAUCACCAUGAAUCUUGCUUCCACUCCUACAUAAUGACACACUAACACAUACACCUGCAUUUGGUGCAGGAGGUACAACCCCCCCGAUUUUAACCAGAAUCCAGCAGCCGCGACAGUUAUUGCUCCCUUGAGCUGUGAGACGGAAGAGCCUCAAGCCUGACCAAGACAUCAAGGAGCAGAUGUUAUCUGAUAUAAAACUCCAGAUAAAGAAAAGAUUCCUGUAUGCAGUCUGUCUCCACCAAAGUCGAGAUUUCUGGUUUCACAUUAGUUAAUUCUAGAUUAAUUUAUUGUUUCAGUGCGAUUUUCCUUAAUCUGACCAACAGAUACUGUAUUUAUAAAUGCAGAGAAAAGAUAAUUAUUGCAUUAAUAGUAGCUAAUUUUAUGCAAUAUUCAUUUUAUCAAAACAGCCUCCUAGUUUUUUUUAAAUGUUAAAUUUUUAAGAAUGUCAAAUUACUUUGUGUUUGUUUUUUUAAGAGGACCUUUUAUAUCCUUAAGAGUAGAUUUGCAUGAAAAACAGCUUAAAAUAAUUAUUAUUUACCUCAUUCUGUGCUUUAGUGCAGCCCUUCAGCUUAUCUUCUGUCUGAAAUGAGCUAUUUCAGCUCCCCCACUCCAUCAGGUGAGUGGUGGUUAUGUGCGCACACAACCAGCACUGUGUGCCUAAACAUGACCAUAUUAGGGACAUCCGCUCUUACUGACAUCAUGC